rnacentral:rRNA from 1 species
GACGAACGCUGGCGGCGUGCUUAACACAUGCAAGUCGAACGAUGAAGAAAAGAAUUGAAGCUUCGGCAGAAAUUCAUUUCGGAUUAGUGGCAGACGGGUGAGUAACGCGUGAGCAACCUACCUCUUACAAAGGGAUAGCCUCGGGAAACCGGGAUUAAUACCAUAUAACAUUGCGACGAAGCAUUUCGAUGCAAUCAAAGCUACGGCGGUAAGAGAUGGGCUCGCGUCCCAUUAACCAGAUGGUGAGGUAACGGCUCACCAUAGUAACGAUGGGUAACCGGGCUGAGAGGGUGAACGGUCACACUGGAAAUGAGACACGGUCCAGACUCCUACGGGAGGCAGCAGUGGGGAAUAUUGCACAAUGGAGGGAACUCUGAUGCAGCGACGCCGCGUGAGUGAUGAAGGAAUUCGUUUCGUAAAACUCUGUUCUAUGGGAAGAAAAGGACUGUACCAUAGGAGAAAGCUCCGGCUAAAUACGUG